rnacentral:lncRNA from 1 species
CUCGACCCUCCUCUUUUCUCUUUUACACACUCUUACUCUCUUUUCACCUUUGUUGUCUGCCUGCCUGUUCGCUUGGUAGACGCACACCAACCAACCUAACCAACUGGACUGCUAAUGCUCGUUCUGCCAGUGCCACUUCCCUUUUAUCGCUUUUCCUCACCGCUCUUUCUCUUCUUACCUUUCUUUCGUUCGACGAUUUUCUCCUCUUUAUUACGUCAAACCUCUGAGUCCAUUUUUCGUCUCUGUGGGUAUAAAAUCGCGUGAUUUCAACCAAGCGUGCGUUUCACGUGUCACGUGCUCCUGCUGUCCUCCUCGCACACCUGCAUUUCGCGUGCGCCCCACUUCAACCUGAACCAAUGAGCUCUGUUCUCUAUACUCUGCAUCUUCAGAUACUACUAUCCUGUUGUUAAACAUGUGCAUUAUAGACGCGCUGUGUUGACAUUUUCUCCAUAUUUAUGACUCUAAUAGGAUUACAACGUACGUCAUUCUAAUAGGAUUAGAAAUGUCUGCUUUAUAAGAUGAAAUGUCAACAUUGAAAGUCGACUUCGAUAGUCAGUUUCGAUUGUCGAGAUCCUCUCGUUCGUAAUAACAGAUUUAUAUCGCAUGUGAAAUUUCGUAAACGUGGUUGGCGUUUUUCGAAGACUAAGUUAUGUAGUUGGUUUCGUUUAGUAGCGUUUGUUACGUUUAUAAGUGUAUUACGGUAACUGUGAAAUAAAUAGCGCGCUACGCGUAAUGUGUCUACCGUGGAAUGUGACUUUGAUCGUGCGGAGAAAGGUAUCCGUGAACUUGUUUUCAUGCGCCGCUGAACCACGUGUUUUGGCAACGGGCACGCGCCCCUGUGUGUUUAGUUGCACGACUUUUUGUUACUCCGCUUCUCUUGUAAGGAGCAUCAUGUAUAUAUAAAAGGCCAUUUAUCUGUCAAUUUUGUUUUGGAGAAAUCGUACGUAACACGUUUUGUGCAGUAUACACCAUAGAUGGAACACAAUCGACUUUCCCGUUAAAUAGUUUCAUACUCGU